UACGUAGGGUGCAAGCGUUGUCCGGAAUUAUUGGGCGUAAAGAGCUCGUAGGCGGUUUGUCGCGUCUGCUGUGAAAGCCCGGGGCUCAACCCCGGAACGGCAUCCGAGACGGCCAGGCUGGAGACCGGGAGAGGAGAGUGGAAUAGCCAGUGUAGAGGUGAAAUUCGUAGAUAUCGAGAAGAACACCGGUGGCGAAGGCGGCCAUCUGGACGGUGACUGACGCUGAGACGCGAAAGCGUGGGGAGCAAACAGG
rnacentral:rRNA from 1 species